rnacentral:snRNA from 1 species
AUCACUUCUCAGCCAUACUAUACUAAGAUACGUGUAGUAUCUGUUCUUAUCAGUUGAAUAUCUGAGAAGUCCUCUAUCCAGGGACAAUAUAUUAAAUGGAUUUUUGGAGCAGGGGGAUGGAAUAGGAACUCACUCCAUCUACUCUACACAUUGACCUGGUAUUGUGGUACCAGGAAUGGUGCACUCCUU